rnacentral:siRNA from 1 species
AUGGUGCAUUGCCGACAUAACUCC